AGUUUGAGUCUAACCAUGAGCCUGCACUUGUGCAACUUUCUGCUGAGCAAUGACUGCUCUCAAUAUGUUUUAUGGCACAAUUUGUUUCUUUCUUAGCAGUGCUCCCAUUAGACUUUCCUUUGGUGGUUGUUGUUGUUGAUGAGCCACUACUUGUACAGAGCUAUGCAGAGCACCGUGUUCCAGAAUGGACAUUUUCCGCUCCGUUAUUAUCUGGGAAUGUGUAUUUAUUUCUCAUCUCCGGAGUCUUCUCAUCUUAUGUCUGCUGCAGAAUCUUCUCCUAUCUCUGCUGCAGACUUUUCUCCUAUCUCUGCUGCAGACUUUUCUCCUCAUCUCUGCUGCAGACUUUUCUCCUCAUCUCUGGUGCAGACUUUUCUCCUAUCUCUGCUGCAGACUUUUCUCCUCAUCUCUGCUGCAGACUUCUCUCCUAUCUCCUGCAAACUUUUCCCCUUCAUCUCUGCUGCAGACUUUUCUCUAUCUCUGCUGCAGACUUUUCUCCUAUCUCUGCUGCAGACUUUUUCCUCAUCUCUGCUGCAGACUUUUCUCCUCCUAUCUGCUUUCUCUACUUUCCGCCCUGUGCAUGCUUCAGCCUCUUCUCCCCAUCUCUGUUUUCCCCCUUGUGCAUACUUCAGCCUCUCCUCCCUGUCUCUUUUUUCCCCAAGUGUUAGUCUCUUUUGCAGGUUGCGCAAGGUGAAACGCAUAGGUUGGUGCUUGGUGAACGUGAAGAUUAAGCUGGUAGACCUGGAAGGCAACCCACCAUUUGCAACAAGGUCAUAUUGGAUGCUGAGGUCUAUCAGGAGGAGUUCUGUCUCAACAUUUAAAGCUUUUGUGUAGAAUUUGCACUGGACUGAGUUUGCCGUGGACUAAAGGAGAGACCAGAUUGCCCUGUGACUGGCUGUAGUCUUCAGUUGGGCUUGCCAACCCACGCUGUAGACAAGAAGAUUGACCAUCCCAUUGAAUCCUGUGUGGUUUAGCCCAAAGUUGCUGAAAGAAGUGGACCUGAUCGUUCCUGCCUCUGGCUGUGUCACUCCGCUACCUACAUCUUCUCCAAGGGGGAAGAAGUAAACAAGGCCUGGUGUCUGCCAACCACCUUCAGAGGACUGAACACUCAUUACAUCCAACUAAAUCGUUUUUGUCCAAGCAGAGGAACAAGAAAAGAAGAAAUUUGGGAGGAACACGCUAGAGCACACACACCAAGAUCUACAGUUCUUGCAAUCUUUUGGCUUUGUUAUAUAGAGAGCCAGGAUCUGAUGAGUAUCACAGAUCCAUAAAUUAUUCGGUAAGGAUAAUUUUUAGAUUCAAUACGGGGUUUCAUCUCGCUCAGAUUGGCCCAGAGCGGGAUUACCCUUGACUGGGCUGCAUCGGUUUUUUACCAUUUCUUACGAGGUGGCGUUUUUCUGGUGGAGGCCCAGCCCGCCCUGUGAUGCCCCC